rnacentral:rRNA from 1 species
GGGUGGUAAUGCCGGAUGCUCCAGUUGAUCGCAUGGUCUUCUGGGAAAGCUUUCGCGGUAUGGGAUGGGGUCGCGUCCUAUCAGCUUGACGGCGGGGUAACGGCCCACCGUGGCUUCGACGGGUAGCCGGCCUGAGAGGGCGACCGGCCACAUUGGGACUGAGAUACGGCCCAGACUCCUACGGGAGGCAGCAGUGGGGAAUAUUGCACAAUGGGCGCAAGCCUGAUGCAGCGACGCCGCGUGAGGGAUGGAGGCCUUCGGGUUGUAAACCUCUUUUAUCGGGGAGCAAGCGAGAGUGAGUUUACCCGUUGAAUAAGCACCGGCUAACUACGUGCCAGCAGCCGCGGUAAUACGUAGGGUGCAAGCGUUAUCCGGAAUUAUUGGGCGUAAAGGGCUCGUAGGCGGUUCGUCGCGUCCGGUGUGAAAGUCCAUCGCUUAACGGUGGAUCCGCGCCGGGUACGGGCGGGCUUGAGUGCGGUAGGGGAGACUGGAAUUCCCGGUGUAACGGUGGAAUGUGUAGAUAUCGGGA